GCCCUGUUAACAGUUAUUCCACUUGUAUUGGGUAGCAAUUUCUUCAUAUAAUACUUAGAAUUACGGGAUAGAUUGAUUUUCUUCCUCUUUUUCUCUGGGAUCAUAUCAAUUGAACUUUCUGAGAAGCCACGCCUCUUGAACCAGUCUGCUGUACGAGUUGUAAGCAGGAAGAGCAUUUCCAAAUUUAGGGAGGAGGCCUUCUUCUCAAUGAAAUCAAGCAAUUUGUCUCCCUGUCCUUGUCCACGGCAUUCAGGAGACACUGCAAUAGCAGCAACCUCUCCGCAUUUCUCCUCAAAGAAAGGGAAAAGAGC
rnacentral:misc_RNA from 1 species